CACUCCUACGGGAGGCAGCAGUGGGGAAUAUUGCACAAUGGGCGCAAGCCUGAUGCAGCCAUGCCGCGUGUAUGAAGAAGGCCUUCGGGUUGUAAAGUACUUUCAGCGGGGAGGAAGGCGAUAAGGUUAAUAACCUUGUUGAUUGACGUUACCCGCAGAAGAAGCACCGGCUAACUCCGUGCCAGCAGCCGCGGUAAUACGGAGGGUGCAAGCGUUAAUCGGAAUUACUGGGCGUAAAGCGCACGCAGGCGGUCUGUCAAGUCGGAUGUGAAAUCCCCGGGCUCAACCUGGGAACUGCAUUCGAAACUGGCAGGCUAGAGUCUUGUAGAGGGGGGUAGAAUUCCAGGUGUAGCGGUGAAAUGCGUAGAGAUCUGGAGGAAUACCGGUGGCGAAGGCGGCCCCCUGGACAAAGACUGACGCUCAGGUGCGAAAGCGUGGGGAGCAAACAGGAUUAGAAACCCCAGUAGUCCCAU
rnacentral:rRNA from 1 species